UACGUAGGGUGCAAGCGUUGUCCGGAAUUAUUGGGCGUAAAGAGCUCGUAGGCGGUUUGUCGCGUCGACUGUGAAAACCCGAGGCUUAACCUCGGGCCUGCAGUCGAUACGGGCAGACUAGAGUUCGGUAGGGGAGACGUGGAAUUCCUGGUGUAGCGGUGAAAUGCGCAGAUAUCAGGAGGAACACCGGUGGCGAAGGCGGGUCUCUGGGCCGAUACUGACGCUGAGGAGCGAAAGCGUGGGGAGCGAACAGG
rnacentral:rRNA from 1 species